rnacentral:rRNA from 1 species
UACGUAGGGGGCAAGCGUUGUCCGGAAUUAUUGGGCGUAAAGCGUGCGCAGGCGGCUCCUUAAGUCAGAUGUGAAAUCCCCGGGCUUAACCUGGGAACUGCGUUUGAAACUGGGGAGCUUGAGUGUGGAAGAGGGGGGGUGGAAUUCCAGGUGUAGCAGUGAAAUGCGUAGAGAUCUGGAGGAACACCGAUGGCGAAGGCAGCCCCCUGGGCUAACACUGACGCUCAUGCACGAAAGCGUGGGGAGCAAACAGG